GCAAAUUACUUUUUAGCUAUGUUUUUAAUUUCAUAAAUAACUAGCAAAACAUGCCCGUGCGUUGCAACGGGGUAUAGAAUUUAUUAUUUGAUAAUUGUACACUUUUUGUAAAAUUUAAAUGAGUUUAGUCCAACCUUGAAUCAAAUAAAUAUAACCCCACCAAAACAAACAAAACUACCAAACUAAUAUCGGAAAUCACCUUGAGAAGAAUUAGAAAAAAAUCAUGUCCCAUAAAAAAAUCAGAAAUCUUCAUGUACAGUGGAGGAAAAAGAGUAAAAAUGAUAUAAAAAUAUGUAUAGAAAUUAAAAGGGGAAGAAUAUUAGGUAAAGAAAGCAUAAAAGCAUCACAUGAGGGAACAAUUCCAUCAAACAGCACGUCAGAUCAGUCCACUUUUAUUGUCGUUCAGUGCAAUCCAAAGCAAAACUAGCGGCGCAGUUAGUGACAAAAGCCCAC
rnacentral:lncRNA from 1 species